rnacentral:rRNA from 1 species
UACGUAGGGCGCAAGCGUUGUCCGGAAUUAUUGGGCGUAAAGAGCGUGUAGGCGCCAAGCAGGUCCGUUGUGAAAACUGGAGGCUUAACCUCCAGACGUCGACGGAAACCGCGUGGCUAGAGUCCGGAAGAGGAGAGUGGAAUUCCUGGUGUAGCGGUGAAAUGCGCAGAUAUCAGGAAGAACACCAAUGGCGAAGGCAGCUCUCUGGGACGGUACUGACGCUGAGACGCGAAAGCGUGGGGGAGCGAACAGG